ACUUCCUCUGUGUGCAGCUUUGCACUUGCCAUCCCGCAGGUCCGAGGGCUUCUGGAGGCCGUGGCUUGGAACCCCUGGUGAGAACGAGGAGCUUGCGGCACGCCACACUGCCCAGGCGGUGCCAGGUGACCCCAGAAGGACCAAAGCCUCUGGAAAGCUUUUCCAAUACUGACACCCUGUCAGGUGAGUGACAGGCCUCAUUGAAGGUCUUCUGCUGCUCAGCCCCAGGGAGGAGCUGGGGGCAUCAAUCUCACAGCCUAGCUCCACAGCUGGCCUUGCAGUUUCUCUCUUGGAAAAACCGUCUUCAGAAUUUCUGUCUUCCCACUCCGAGAGCU
rnacentral:lncRNA from 1 species